AAUCCAUAGGUUAAUGAGGCGAACCGGGGGAACUGAAACAUCUAAGUACCCCGAGGAAAAGAAAUCAACCGAGAUUCCCCCAGUAGCGGCGAGCGAACGGGGAGGAGCCCAGAGCCUGAAUCAGCAUGUGUGUUAGUGGAAGCGUCUGGAAAGGCGCGCGAUACAGGGUGACAGCCCCGUACACAAAAGCGCAUGUGCUGUGAGCUCGAUGAGUAGGGCGGGACACGUGGUAUCCUGUCUGAAUAUGGGGGGACCAUCCUCCAAGGCUAAAUACUCCUGACUGACCGAUAGUGAACCAGUACCGUGAGGGAAAGGCGAAAAGAACCCCGGCGAGGGGAGUGAAAAAGAACCUGAAACCGUGUACGUACAAGCAGUGGGAGCACAGGUUUACCUGUGUGACUGCGUACCUUUUGUAUAAUGGGUCAGCGACUUAUAUUCUGUAGCAAGGUUAACCGAAUAGGGGAGCCGGAGGGAAACCGAGUCUUAAUUGGGCGUUAAGUUGCAGGGUAUAGACCCGAAACCCGGUGAUCUAGCCAUGGGCAGGUUGAAGGUUGGGUAACACUAACUGGAGGACCGAACCGACUAAUGUUGAAAAAUUAGCGGAUGACCUGUGGCUGGGGGUGAAAGGCCAAUCAAACCGGGAGAUAGCUGGUUCUCCCCGAAAGCUAUUUAGGUAGCGCCUCGUGAAUUCAUCUCCGGGGGUAGAGCACUGUUUCGGCUAGGGGGCCAUCCCGGCUUACCAACCCGAUGCAAACUGCGAAUACCGGAGAAUGUUAUCACGGGAGACACACGGCGGGUGCUAACGUCCGUCGUGAAGAGGGAAACAACCCAGACCGCCAGCUAAGGUCCCAAAGUCAUGGUUAAGUGGGAAACGAUGUGGGAAGGCCCAGACAGCCAGGAUGUUGGCUUAGAAGCAGCCAUCAUUUAAAGAAAGCGUAAUAGCUCACUGGUCGAGUCGGCCUGCGCGGAAGAUGUAACGGGGCUAAACCAUGCACCGAAGCUGCGGCAGCGAACGUAUCACUUAAAGCGAUUCAGCG
rnacentral:rRNA from 1 species